GUCUUCAAGGCAAUGAAGCUACAGUUGUUUCGGUAUGAAACAUUUCACCGCCAUGCCAGAGCUUUCAUUGAACCGGCAGUUAUUCACCACUGGAAAGUCACACAGGAUGUGAAUCUGCAGCGGCUAAGUCAGUAGGAAAAAGUGAUACUUGGUGGUGACAUGAGAGCUGACUCCCCAGGCCACUCUGCAAAGUAUGGGAGUUAUACAAUGAUGGAUCUCUAUACUAACACUGUUGUGGACAUUCAGUUGGUUCAGAGCAACAAGGUUGGUGGUAGCUGCCACAUGGAAAAAGAGGGCCUGACGAGGAGUCCAGCAUUACUGGAGUCGCGUGGCGUCAACCUUGAUUGCAUUGUCACUGAUCGUCAUCCACAAGUACAGAAGUUCCUCAGGGAGAGAAACAUAACCCAUUACUAUGAUGUCUGGCACAUGGCAAAAGGUAUAUUGU